GAGUUUGAUCAUGGCUCAGAUUGAACGCUGGCGGCAUGCCUUACACAUGCAAGUCGAACGGCAGCAUGAUCUAGCUUGCUAGAUUGAUGGCGAGUGGCGAACGGGUGAGUAAUACAUCGGAACGUGCCCUGUAGUGGGGGAUAACUAGUCGAAAGAUUAGCUAAUACCGCAUACGACCUGAGGGUGAAAGUGGGGGACCGCAAGGCCUCAUGCUAUAGGAGCGGCCGAUGUCUGAUUAGCUAGUUGGUGGGGUAAAGGCCCACCAAGGCGACGAUCAGUAGCUGGUCUGAGAGGACGAUCAGCCACACUGGGACUGAGACACGGCCCAGACUCCUACGGGAGGCAGCAGUGGGGAAUUUUGGACAAUGGGCGAAAGCCUGAUCCAGCAAUGCCGCGUGUGUGAAGAAGGCCUCGGUGUAAG
rnacentral:rRNA from 1 species